UACGAAGGGGGCUAGCGUUGCUCGGAAUCACUGGGCGUAAAGCGCACGUAGGCGGAUUGCUAAGUCAGGGGUGAAAUCCUGGAGCUCAACUCCAGAACUGCCCUUGAUACUGGCGGUCUCGAGUCCGGGAGAGGUGAGUGGAACUGCGAGUGUAGAGGUGAAAUUCGUAGAUAUUCGCAAGAACACCAGUGGCGAAGGCGGCUCACUGGCCCGGUACUGACGCUGAGAUGCGAAAGCGUGGGGAGCAAACAGG
rnacentral:rRNA from 1 species